UACGUAGGGCGCAAGCGUUGUCCGGAAUUAUUGGGCGUAAAGAGCUCGUAGGCGGCUUGUCACGUCGGAUGUGAAAGCCCGGGGCUUAACCCCGGGUCUGCAUUCGAUACGGGCUGGCUAGAGUGUGGUAGGGGAGAUCGGAAUUCCUGGUGUAGCGGUGAAAUGCGCAGAUAUCAGGAGGAACACCGGUGGCGAAGGCGGAUCUCUGGGCCAUUACUGACGCUGAGGAGCGAAAGCGUGGGGAGCGAACAGG
rnacentral:rRNA from 1 species